GAGAUCAUUACUGAACACCUACUGGAGAAGAGUAAUAUUUAGAGGACAGGAACCAGUGAAGGAGCCUGGAUGCAAGGAGUUGGAGAGGAAGGGGAAACAGUAUAUCUGCUUCUGGUGCAGAGGGGGCUUUCCUCAGCACAGGCCUCACACCAGGUUCUUGCCAAAGGCUAAGGCAGGUGAUGACACUGGACUCUAAGCGACAGCUAGGAAAGGGACCUGGGAGGAAUCAAUUUGUUUCUGAAAUAUCCAAAAUGCACAACAGAGUAAACCCAUGAAAACAAGACCCUAUACAAAAGUCAGUACAAUCCUGGGUACAUUAAAAAAGAUGUGAGGAACCAAUAAGAAGACCAUCUCCUGGCCUCAGUCAAAACCAUCUCUGGAACUGUGUGUAGCUAUGCUGCUGCCCUCAGGAAAGCACAGGAGGGAGCGCAUCCUGACAGGGGCGAUCCACAUGAUGGAGAUAUGGGAGGUGUUGCGAGAGGCCUCCUUUGUGGACAAGAAUCAAGAAGACAGGAGAGGGAUGAAGAACAACAAAUUCCUGCCUCACUAGGAACAGAUCAGAUCAUGGCCCUUAUGCAUACAGAAAUCCCCAUGAUACGUACAUAGAAAUGGACUUCACCCUUUCCUGGAAUAUAAAAUUAAGAAACAUCAUCCAGAACUAAAAGCAAUCUUUAUUACCGUUGGACAUAACAAAUCUAGCACUUCUUCGUAGGCUACUUGACCAGAACUGAAACCAGAUGAAGAGGAAAUGGAUCUCCAAUUUGAAGUGUGAUAGUUGCUUAAAAGCAAUAAGAACAGCAGGGAAGAGCCGAUUCUGCAGAAAAUAUGCCUUGCUACAGAAAACUGACAUGAACUUAGUACACAAAGGUAAAGAAAAUAGAGGUAAAGGUAGCUCUGGUCACUGAGAACAAAAUCGUAAUCCCAGCAAGCAUACUGGAAGCCAAGACUAAACUGACCUGACAAAGCUUGAUAAACGGGAAAUAUGGGGCCGAAAAAGCUUUUAACUGUUAUGCCUCAUCUGAUAUGCCGGCAAAUGUACACAAAGACAGAAGGAAAGUACUGGAAGGCAUUCAUUUUGAGAUCAGAUCCAGGUCAACCAAGAGAUCAUAGGUCCUUGAACUUCACUCCAUCAGCAGCAAAACAGUCUAUCGAUACCUGGUAGAAGAGGUUUAUGACAACACUGUUGUCCAACACAGUUGUCCAUUGACUACCACCCUCAAUGCUUCUAUUUUUUGUCCCAUACUGGCAAUUUCUGCCCUACAAAAGAAAGCAGUUUUAAACACUUUAUUUUGGCAUAUGAGCUCAAGUUACAGGACAUAGAAUGAAAAAAAAAACAAAAAGAAUAGAAAUGAAAGAUAUAUCAGAACCAAGCAGACAAGAAGGAAAAUAUUUGCCAACUUCAAGGGUUUAUGCAUUCCCUGUGACUGGACAUGAAUUUUGAGUCCAAGACUUUUGGCAGGCUGUGCAAAAAGACAAACAUGAUUAUUCACAUAGCUCUCAUUGUUGGAAAAGAGGAAGCAAAAUUGUUGUUGGCUCUAAAUUCUCAAAUUUCUCCUGUGAGUCCUUUAGUGAGAGUCACUGAAUUACAAAAUGGACCUUCUCGUCAGUACCAGUUCUGUGGUCGAUGCAGAUCGAUGCUCACUUAAACAUAAGCCCUUGACUUCUGUUACUGACAUUUGUGCAGAUUUUCCAAGAACCUAUAAAAGCAUAACAAAUUUCACAUAAAAUGAACUAUAUGUAGCUUUUAAAUUCUUCCAGUUGACCUAAAGGAAGUCUAACCUGGGAAUACCCGGCAAUGCUGGAAGGACCCAGCUACUUCAGUCAGGAAAUGCUACCUCAGAAUGAAUCAAAAGGUCCAAUGACAUCACUAGGGUUCUGAGCACCACCACCAGCCUCUGUGACAGAUACUUGACUUUUCAUGGUAGGCUUUGCCAUAAAGUUCUGACUCUGCCAGCAGUAACAGUGCUAUUUGGAGCAUGUUGCUUAACCUCUUGGUACUGCAAUGCCCUCAUUUUUAAAUGAGUCAUAAGGUAACUAUCAUUUUUUGAGGCCCUCCUCUGUGCCAUCCACUAUUUAAUAUCUGUUUUCCCAGUC